GAUGAACGCUGGCGGCGUGCCUAAUACAUGCCAGUCGAGCGAACGGACGAGAAGCUUGCUUCUCUGAUGUUAGCGGCGGACGGGUGAGUAACACGUGGAUAACCUACCUAUAAGACUGGGAUAACUUCGGGAAACCGGAGCUAAUACCGGAUAAUAUUUUGAACCGCAUGGUUCAAAAGUGAAAGACGGUCUUGCUGUCACUUAUAGAUGGAUCCGCGCUGCAUUAGCUAGUUGGUAAGGUAACGGCUUACCAAGGCAACGAUGCAUAGCCGACCUGAAAGGGUGAUCGGCCACACUGGAACUGAGACACGGUCCAGACUCCUACGGGAGGCAGCAGUAGGGAAUCUUCCGCAAUGGGCGAAAGCCUGACGGAGCAACGCCGCGUGAGUGAUGAAGGUCUUCGGAUCGUAAAACUCUGUUAUUAGGGAAGAACAUAUGUGUAAGUAACUGUGCACAUCUUGACGGUACCUAAUCAGAAAGCCACGGCUAACUACGUG
rnacentral:rRNA from 1 species